UAAGGGUUUCCGGCUUGAUUGCUGGAACGAAAGAGGGAAGACGGGUGAAAAUCCCGCGCAGUCCCGCUGCUGUAAAUGGGGAGUGGGCUUUCGUAAUACCACUGGCCGCAAGGCUGGGAAGGGGAAAGCCCAUUUUGAUCCAUAAGCCAGAAUACCUGCCCUUACUGAU
rnacentral:ncRNA from 1 species